rnacentral:rRNA from 1 species
CCUACGGGAGGCAGCAGUGAGGAAUAUUGGUCAAUGGGCGGGAGCCUGAACCAGCCAAGCCGCGUGAGGGAAGCAGGUACAGCGUAUCGUAAACCUCUUUUGUCAGGGAACACAGGCGGGGACUAGUCCCCGGAUGAGGGUACCUGAAGAAAAAGCAUCGGCUAACUCCGUGCCAGCAGCCGCGGUAAUACGGGGGAUGCGAGGGUUAUCCGGAUUUAUUGGGGUUAAAGGGUGCGCAGGCGGCCUGUUGAGGCAGCGGGAAAAGCCCGGGGCUCAACCCCGGCGAGCCGGUGAAACUGGCGGGCUGGAGUUGGAGAGAAGUACGCGGAAUGCGCGGUGUAGCGGUGAAAUGCUGAGAUAUCGCGCAGAACCCAGAUUGCGAAGGCAGCGUACCGGCUCCACACUGACGCUGAGGCACGAAAGCGUGGGUAUCGAACAGGAUUAGAUACCCUAGUAGUC